CAGAGUUCAGGCCCCUCGGGGCAGAUCUCCCACCCUUGUGUAUUUAUACCUCUGUUGCUUUGGCAGGCCGCUGGGCUUCGGCCUAGCCACCGGCUCUGGGGCUGGUGUGCGCCUGCCAGAGGACCUCCAAACUCUGUUUAUCAGUGUCGUCUGAGUAUUAUACAAUCGUUA
rnacentral:misc_RNA from 1 species